UUAAAUUAACAGCCCAUUGAGGAAAUAUGUCGCAGUCGCAGAAAGUGCUCUUCUGGUCAAUACUAAUUGUUAUGGAGUUGGUAACAAUUAACUAUUGUGCCAACGUCAACAAAAAAGUCACAAUUUCGCCAGCUUUACUUCAAACCAAUUCCAGACCUCUUGUCGAGCCAGGCGAUAAUGGUAAUCUAGAUGAUCUGAGUUUCGAGUACAACGCCAAAAAAAAUCGAAUUAAUCGAAUUCGUAAACGUUUACCAGUCGCUAAGACAAGUGACAAACCAUUCGAGAUAUCGCCGGACCUUCGUAUUAACGAGAAUACAUAGGGAAAUUAAAGUUUUACAUCUAGACAAUUUUAUGGACCAUCUCAUAUCAUUUAAUCGCAAAGCGUGUAAUGUGAAAAUAUUUUUAGAAAUAAACGAUUAACUGAACUUAACAUUAA